rnacentral:tRNA from 1 species
GCGGACGUGGUGAAAUUGGUAGACACGCCAGAUUUAGGUUCUGGUGGACUUAGUCUGUGGGGGUUCGAGUCCCUUCGUCCGCACCA